AUAGGGAUAACCUUCCGAAAGGAGGGCUAAUACCGAAUGAGACCACAGUAUCUACGGAUACAGGGGUCAAAGGAUGGCCUCUACUUGUAAGCUAUCGCUUGAGGAUGGGCUUAUGCACCAUUAGCCUGUUGGUGAGGUAACGGCUCACCAAAGCUUUGAUGGUUAACUGAUCUGAGAGGUUGAUCAGUCACACUGGAACUGAGACACGGUCCAG
rnacentral:rRNA from 1 species